GAAAUCCGCUAAGGAGUGUG
rnacentral:snRNA from 1 species